GAGUUUGAUUAUGGCUCAGGAUGAACGCUGGCGGCGUGCUUAACACAUGCAAGUCGAACGGGCGAAUUAUAUCGGAGGUCUUCGGGCCGAAGAGAUAAUAAGCUAGUGGCGGACGGGUGCGUAACGUGUGGGUAAUCUGCCUUUGUCAUAGGAAUAACUGCUUGAAAAAGUAGCUAAUACCAAAUAACAUAUCGUAUAGGCAUCUAUAAGAUAUCAAAGAGAAAUCGGACAAAGAUGAGCCCGCAUCUGAUUAGCUGGUUGGUAGGGUAAAAGCCUACCAAGGCGACGAUCAGUAGCCGGCCUGAGAGGGUGAACGGCCACAUUGGAACUGAGACACGGUCCAAACUCCUACGGGAGGCAGCAGUGGGGAAUAUUGCACAAUGGGGGGAACCCUGAUGCAGCAANCGCCGCGUGAGUGAAGAAGGCUUUCGAGUCGUAAAACUCUGUUGUAAGGGAAGAUAAUGACNGUCCCUAAAGAAGCC
rnacentral:rRNA from 1 species